AAGAAAGGAAAAAACAAAAAGGACAGCUAGCCUCCACACUCUCUUAGAGACUCUCUCAUUUUCCAAUGGCUCUAGGUCACAGAAAAAUAAAAUAAAAAGGAAAAAGGGGAACACUGUUCACCUUCUUUCCCACAACUCCCUUCACUCACGUAGAACGCCAAAAACCAGACCAUCACUCUUCUUAUCCCUAAUCACAACUGU
rnacentral:lncRNA from 1 species